rnacentral:rRNA from 1 species
GACGAACGCUGGCGGCGUGCUUAACACAUGCAAGUCGGACGGAAAGGCCUCUUUCGGGGGGUACUCGAGUGGCGAACGGGUGAGUAACACGUGAGUAACCUGCCCUUGACUUUGGGAUAACUUCAGGAAACUGGGGCUAAUACCGGAUAGGAGCUCCUGCUGCAUGGUGGGGGUUGGAAAGUUUCGGCGGUUGGGGAUGGACUCGCGGCUUAUCAGCUUGUUGGUGGGGUAGUGGCUUACCAAGGCUUUGACGGGUAGCCGGCCUGUGAGGGUGACCGGCCGCAUUGGGACUGAGAUACGGCCCAGACUCCUACGGGAGGCAGCAGUGGGGAAUAUUGCACAAUGGGUGGAAGCCUGAUGCAGCAACGCCGUGUGCGGGAUGACGGCCUUCGGGUUGUAAACCGCUUUCGCUCAUGACGAAGCUUUGUGUGACGGUAGUGGGUAAAGAAGCACCGGCUAACUACGUG